GGCGAGGUAGCUCAGAGGCAGAGCAGGGGACUCAUAAGCCCUUGGCCGUGAGUUCGAAUCUCACCCUCGCCA
rnacentral:tRNA from 1 species